AUUAAUCCUAAAGUUGAUCCGCACACCCCGGCCAUUGCCGCAGUGAACGGCGCAGUCUUGUAACAUUUUUACAGCCCUGCUAACUACAUAAAGAAUGGAAACCAUGCAGAGGAGCCUGGGCUAGGGGGAGGCUGAUCAAUGAUGCUUCAGCAGAUGAUCCAAUUGAUCAAGUAUCUCAGUUCAUUCAGGAAGUGCGUUUGUCUGGCUGGCAUGCACAACAAGCCAGUUCCGGUUACCGGGCUCCUCGGACUUGGAGAGGAGCUAGAGGUGCAUCUUGUUAUGCCAUCACUCAAGAGCAACUGAGGUUUCUGAUGUCCUGUGCUUUCAGUGUGUCUCAGAUGGCUGAUAUUCAACAUGUCCCGAUCAACACU